rnacentral:rRNA from 1 species
AUUGAACGCUGGCGGCAUGCCUUACACAUGCAAGUCGAACGGCAGCACGGGAGCAAUCCUGGUGGCGAGUGGCGAACGGGUGAGUAAUAUAUCGGAACGUGCCCAGUAGUGGGGGAUAACUGCUCGAAAGAGCAGCUAAUACCGCAUACGACCUGAGGGUGAAAGGGGGGGAUCGCAAGACCUCUCGCUAUUGGAGCGGCCGAUAUCAGAUUAGCUAGUUGGUGGGGUAAAGGCCUACCAAGGCAACGAUCUGUAGUUGGUCUGAGAGGACGACCAGCCACACCGGGACUGAGACACGGCCCAGACUCCUACGGGAGGCAGCAGUGGGGAAUUUGGGACAAUGGGCGCAAGCCUGAUCCAGCAAUGCCGCGUGCAGGAAGAAGGCCUUCGGGUUGUAAACUGCUUUUGUCAGGGAAGAAAUCCUCUAGGUUAAUACCCUUGGGGGGAUGACGGUACCUGAAGAAUAAGCACCGGCUAACUACGUGCCAGCCGCCGCCGUAACAC